GACGAACGCUGGCGGCGUGCUUAACAUAUGCAAGUCGAACGAAGAGCGACGGAAGCUUGCUUCUAUCAAUCUUAGUGGCGAACGGGUGAGUAACGCGUAAUCAACCUGCCCUUCAGAGGGGGACAACAGUUGGAAACGACUGCUAAUACCGCAUACGAUCUAACCUCGGCAUCGAGGAUAGAUGAAAGGUGGCCUCUACAUGUAAGCUAUCACUGAAGGAGGGGAUUGCGUCUGAUUAGCUAGUUGGAGGGGUAACGGCCCACCAAGGCGAUGAUCAGUAGCCGGUCUGAGAGGAUGAACGGCCACAUUGGGACUGAGACACGGCCCAGACUCCUACGGGAGGCAGCAGUGGGGAAUCUUCCGCAAUGGACGAAAGUCUGACGGAGCAACGCCGCGUGAGUGAUGACGGCCUUCGGGUUGUAAAGCUCUGUUAAUCGGGACGAAAGGCCUUCUUGCGAAUAGUGAGAAGGAUUGACGGUACCGGAAUAGAAAGCCACGGCAAACUACGUG
rnacentral:rRNA from 1 species